rnacentral:lncRNA from 1 species
AUGGGAGCUCGCAGCUGGGGCGGCACUAACGUGGUGAGGAGGGGGACUGCGGGCUCAGAAUUUUCCUGUGGAUGCACAGAUAAAGCUGAGAAUAUCACGGGGGUAAAGGCUGAACUUGGCACGGGUCAGGACACCCACAGUGCGCAUGGUGGGCACGGCACAGGACACAGCGAGGUGUGGGGAGGACACGGGGUGGGCAGCAGCCACUGCUUGUCUUCUGCUCUCUGCAUGCAGAGCUGGCUUGGCAGUGGCGUGCCCUGCUCUCCCCGCGCCACCUCGAGGGAGCAGCCGGGCUGGGAAGCGCUGUGCCGGGCAGAGGUGAGCUCUGCUGUUGCUUUGGGGAUGCGCAUGCAGCCGCCAGGCCGGCAAGGUCACAUACCCAACAUGUCCUCGUUAAACAAAGCCAUUUACCAACACCGUGUUGACACAGCAGAGCUCGGGACAGAGUCACAAAGGGCACUCGCCGUGGGCCUCUGCGGCACCAGGGAGCCUGGGGAGCAGCACGAAGGUGGGAAAGUAUCCCCUGCUUCUGCCCAGCACGAAAUCACCGCUGUGCCCGCAGUCGGAGCCCGGUGGGCACCACCCAGGCAGAAGCACCUAAGGGAGAUUAGGGAGAUGCUCCCGGGAGCCCGAACCCGAUCGGUGCCAAUCACCCGGUGUGGUUACACAGCGGCCACGGCAGCAGCGAGCACCGAGAUACCCGACGGCAGAACCCUUCCCGGGGGCACCGAGCCGGACGGAGAGCGAGACCGGAGCCGGGACCAGGGCCCUCCGCCUCGGGCUCAGCCCCGUCGGGGCUCGGGCUGUUCCCCGGAGUCGCACUGCCGCUCCCCGAGCUCACGGUGCGGUGUCCGCCGGUGCUGUGCGGGCGCUCCCCUCUCUCCCUCCCUCCCUCCCCGCUGUCCGUACCUGUCGGGGUUGGACUGGCGGCGGCUCCCGGGCGCAUCUCGGUGCUGGCGGAGACCGGGACCGGGACCGGCGCGCUCGGCCGCUCCGGCGAAAACUUUUGCCGGAGCCGCAGCGGCGGCGGCGGUGGCGACUCGGGGGGGAGGGACCGUCGCGGGGGGAGGGAUCGUGGGAGAGAAGCCGCUUCUCGCCGCCCCGCUCCUCCCGCUGGCACGGGGGGGUGGAGAGGGCGCGGCCCGGUGCCCCCUCCCGGUGUUUCGACCGGCACAGGCGAAAACUCCCGGGAGCUGCGAGCGACCGCGCGUGUCACCGCCUGCGGUCCCGAUUCUGCCUCCU